AUUGAACGCUGGCGGCAUGCCUUACACAUGCAAGUCGAACGGCAGCACGGGAGCUUGCUCCUGGUGGCGAGUGGCGAACGGGUGAGUAAUACAUCGGAACGUGCCAUUGAGUGGGGGAUAACGUAGCGAAAGUUGCGCUAAUACCGCAUAUUCUGUGAGCAGGAAAGCAGGGGACCGCAAGGCCUUGCGCUCUUUGAGCGGCCGAUGUCAGAUUAGCUAGUUGGUGAGGUAACGGCUUACCAAGGCGACGAUCUGUAGCGGGUCUGAGAGGAUGAUCCGCCACACUGGAACUGAGACACGGUCCAGACUCCUACGGGAGGCAGCAGUGGGGAAUUUUGGACAAUGGGCGCAAGCCUGAUCCAGCCAUGCCGCGUGAGUGAAGAAGGCCUC
rnacentral:rRNA from 1 species